GAUGAACGCUAGCGGCAGGCCUAAUACAUGCAAGUCGAACGGGAUCCAGGAAUAGCUUGCUAUUUCUGGUGAGAGUGGCGCACGGGUGCGUAACGCGUGAGCAACCUACCCAUAUCAGGGGUAUAGCCCGAAGAAAUUCGGAUUAACACCGCAUGACACAGCAUCUCUGCAUGGAGACACUGUUAAAUAUUUAUAGGAUAUGGAUGGGCUCGCGUGACAUUAGCUAGUUGGUAAGGUAACGGCUUACCAAGGCUACGAUGUCUAGGGGCUCUGAGAGGAGAAUCCCCCACACUGGUACUGAGACACGGACCAGACUCCUACGGGAGGCAG
rnacentral:rRNA from 1 species